GCCAUGAAAAGACAUGAAGAACAUUAAAUGCAUAUUGCUAAGUGAAAGAAGUCCAUCUGGAAAGGCUAUAUACUGUAUGAUUCCAACUAUACGACAGUCUGGAAAAGACAAAGUGAUGGGGACAGUAAAAAAAUUACAGUACUAUUGCUGGAAGCUUGAGG